GAUGAAGAACGUAGCGAAAUGCGAUAAGUAAUGUGAAUUGCAGAAUUCAGUGAAUCAUCGAAUCUUUGAACGCACAUUGCGCCCCUUGGUAUUCCGAGGGGCAUGCCUGUUCGAGCGUCAUUACACCACUCAAGCUAUGCUUGGUAUUGGGCGUCGUCCUUAGUUGGGCGCGCCUUAAAGACCUCGGCGAGGCCACUCCGGCUUUAGGCGUAGUAGAAUUUAUUCGAACGUCUGUCAAAGGAGAGGAACUCUGCCGACUGAAACCUUUAUUUUUCUAGGUUGACCUCGGAUCAGGUAGGGAUACCCGCUGAACUUAAGCAUAUCAAUAAGGGAGGA
rnacentral:misc_RNA from 1 species